rnacentral:sRNA from 1 species
AACUAGCCCAGAUAGAAGUGAAAAUCCUUUUUACUUCAUUUUUUUAAAAUGAAAUAAAAAGAUUGCAACGGAUAGCUGGAAUUGGC